UACGUAGGCAGCGAGCGUUGUUCGGAGUUACUGGGCGUAAAGGGUGUGUAGGCGGUUGUUUAAGUUUGGUGUGAAAUCUCCCGGCUCAACUGGGAGGGUGCGCCGAAUACUGAAUGACUUGGAGUGCGGGAGAGGAAAGUGGAAUUCCUGGUGUAGCGGUGAAAUGCGUAGAUAUCAGGAGAACACCGGUGGUGUAGACGGCUUUCUGGACCGUAACUGACGCUGAGACACGAAGCGUGGGUAGCAAACAGG
rnacentral:rRNA from 1 species